rnacentral:lncRNA from 7 species
GAGUCCCUGCAACAGAGCUUAAAGACUCUGCAAUUACUUUCAUAAAUAGCAGCUUUAGGACCUAGGAGUAGUCUCAGUAGACAUGUCUUCUAGCCUUGAUAACUUCGUUGGCGUCAAGGUGAGAGAACAAGAAGGAAAUAACAGGAAAACUGGCAAGGAAAGCAGUGCGAGGCUGAGAAUUUUCUUAGUCUGAAAAACUGGAGCUGGUUCCCUGGAAACUAGAGACUAAGCACUUAUACAGAGAACAGAACACACAAUGUCGCCAUCAACUGCGUGCCUGCUUUCCUCCACCUGUGUCAAGCUCCAAAUGAUGACAGAAGGCCAUGAGCAAUUUUUGCUACUAAGAGAUACUGACAAAGAGAGGAAGAAGGUGAAGAACUGGGCCACUCCUAAGACUGUUACUUUUCUGGUUGCAAAGCAAUAUAAUUAAGACAGAUUCCAUUUUGCUUGCUGGAUGGUGAAAACUCAUGGGAAGCAAAAUUCACAUCACAGCUUUCUGGCAAGCUUUAAACAAAAUGCAUCUAAAAAAAAAAUAAAGACAAGAGCUUGUAAUACUCUUCUUAGCAGUGUGAAGAGCAGAGUCUGAUCCUGCUUUCACAGCAGGAAUUUGUUCAGAGUUUUGUUUAAUUAUUGUCAGGAGCUGCAGGGAUGUUCUUUCAGAGAAUUAGCAAAAGAAAUGUCACAGCUGGAAAGUCACAUUGAGAAUUUGACGAGGCUCCUUUCACCAAUCUAGACUUGAAAAAGUACAUUUACCAUAAUAAACAUAGAAUGGCUGAGAGCAGGUUAGAUGCCAAGAAAACCAGAUUUUCUUUUCCUACAGGGAUAGCUGUAGAUCCAAAAUGCUGCUUUUAAUUAGAGUUUGAGCAACUUCCUAAACAAAGAGUAUUAGUUCUUUCCCUUUCCUGCCCCACAUGUAGCCCCAGGAAUUCAGUGUGCAAGAAGCGAACAUGGAAAACUUCCUAAGACUGGGUAGAGGACAUUAGGAAAGGUAUGAAGGAAGCCACAAUAAAGACUGAGUAUGAUGAAACCCAUAAUAUGGAGUUUUCAAAUAUUUCCUCCAAUAUUGACUUCAAUGUGAAGUUGACUUUUCUCAUGACUUUCAAAAAAUGACUGCAAUUAUUGUCACUUUUCUGCAACAACAACAACAAAAUUCUCCUUAAAAAUGCUUUCCUUGGAUUUUUUUUUAAAUUGAAAGUAUUUAAUGUGAACAAAACUACGUUAUAAGAACAUGAACAUCUAAUAGAAUGAACUGUAAAGACACUAGACAAAACAGAUCCGUCUCCCAUCUUCCUAGCACCUUUGUUUAUUACUCCAAAUGAGUCAACUCAUGGGAGAAUGUUGUAAAAACAGUCCCUUUCAUCACCUUGGGAAGAUUGUUCAGAUCAUG